rnacentral:rRNA from 1 species
GACGAACGCUGGCGGCGUGCUUAACACAUGCAAGUCGAACGGAAAGGCCCUGCUUUUGUGGGGUGCUCGAGUGGCGAACGGGUGAGUAACAAGUGAGUAACCUGCCCUUGACUUUGGGAUAACUUCAGGAAACUGGGGCUAAUACCGGAUAGGAGCUCCUGCUGCAUGGUGGGGGGUGGAAAGUUUCGGCGGUUGGGGAUGGACUCGCGGCUUAUCAGCUUGUUGGUGGGGUAGUGGCUUACCAAGGCUUUGACGGGUAGCCGGCCUGAGAGGGUGACCGGCCACAUUGGGACUGAGAUACGGCCCAGACUCCUACGGGGGGCAGCAGUGGGGAAUAUUGCACAGUGGGCGGAAGCCUGAUGCAGCAACGCCGCGUGCGGGAUGACGGCCUUCGGGUUGUAAACCGCUUUCGCCUGUGACGAAGCGUGAGUGACGGUAAUGGGUAAAGAAGCACCGGCUAACUACGUG